CGUGAGAUAAACAAGCAACAAGCCAUGGCGGCUCAAGCAGAGAAAGACAAAAAGAACUGCAACUACCAAAACCCCAUUUAUAACAGGGGCGCAGACCAGUAAAACCAGAUGUAGA